GCAUCCGUAGCUCAGCUGGAUAGAGUACUCGGCUACGAACCGAGCGGUCGGGAGGUUCGAAUCCUCCCGGAUGCACCA
rnacentral:tRNA from 2 species